rnacentral:tRNA from 1 species
GGUGUCUCAGAGGUAGAGUGCUUGCCUCGCAAGCAUGAGGCCCUGGGUUCAAUUCCUCAGCACCA